ensembl:lncRNA
CAAUAAAGAGUCAUUGAGCCAGGUUUUUAUCAGGUCUGUGCCAGGUGUCAGACAUAAAAAGCUGAGUAAGAUGUGGUUUCAUCAGUGGGAGAAUGGGUUGGGAGGAGUUUGAUGAGAUGAGUACUGUUGGCUGAAUCCCAGAAAGAGUUUCAGGAGCACAGAAGCAGGACUCCAAACCCGAUCUGGGAUUCCCUAGAUACAGUAACAUUUAAAUGACCUCUUGAAGAAUGAAUCAAAGGUAGCCAGGAAAUGAGCAAGAGAAGUUUUCGGGUAGAGGAAAAGGUGCAAAGGCCUAAGACAAGAGGCAUCUAUGGGAAACUUGUAGAAACUGUCACCAGAUCUCAAGGUAUUACUUCUUAAGGAAGUUCUACAAGUAAAGGCCACCAAAAGGAUCACCCCAGGCAGAUAUUCUUAGAGUCAUCGUCAGCUGAUUCUUCUUCCAGAGAUUGGAAAUGACUUCCUCUUGACAGCUGUUCACACACACUAAUUUUUGGUCACCCUGGUCCGAAGGAAAUCUCGCAGUUAAAAAGACCAAGUCUCCUUUAUUUGCCCAGAGAGCACCUGGAAAGAUGCCUAAUUAGAGGAAGCCAGCUCACUGUAUAUCUGAGGACCUGGACCUCAGCACUCGCCUUGGCUCACCUCUGAGCUGAAGGCCAGUCCACGACACCACAGCUCCACUCCAUGUUAAUGACACUGAGUGCAGUCAGGCUUUAUUAAAGGUUCAAAAUGUAUAGGCUUAAAGUGGAGCUUGGAUAAAAGAGGUUGCAUGGAAACUGCCUUAUACAGUAUAAGACUGCAGCAGAGGAGAAAAUUCUCCUCCUACAAUGCCAUACAUAGUAGGCUAUCAGCAACUGAUGACUGCAUAAAUAAACUGUCGCCAUCUCUAGAUGAAAAGCUGCAUCUAUGAACCAGAAUCAAAUUUGCACAACAAUUUUUCUCAAACUUUACUGCUUAAACUCAGCAAAACAAUGUGAGGUGGGGAUAAAAAGGAUUAUCUAAGAUUAGGGAAAAACCAGCUCAUUGAAAGAAAUUCUUUGAAGUCCUAUCUCCUCUCUUUAAAGUUCAUGUAAACUUUAAAGUCUAUAUUGUUUUAUAU